ACCCAACGACCAACCCUUCGAGGUGGCGCGAAGCGGUCUGCUACUUUCAGACCGCUCCCGGCCGGCGUCCCACAAACACCAACCACCAGGAGCCCGCUGGCCGCGUCUACAUUGAUUGAUUGAUUGAUGAAGAUUAAGGCAAAAGGUGGCACGAAGUUAAGGCACCCAAGAGGUGGCACGGGCAUGAAUAGCUCGUAAUGCGUCUACAAUUGUUUUACUUCACGACCUGAUGGACUCGACAAGCACGGUCGAAGUUUGGCGAUUACUUAAAACACGAGUAAACCAACACGUGGCACCAUGGCAACCCACCUCCUCAGGAGGCAACGUUCAGCCAAGCUGCGGAGCGUCCACAACAAAGCUACACAAACAAGUGGAACCAAACCUGCAUUUAUAAUUAAUUUCAAUGUCCCUUGAAUAAAAACAUACUACAAU